UACGUAGGGACCAAGCGUUGUUCGGAUUUACUGGGCGUAAAGGGCGCGUAGGCGGUCGUGACAAGUCACUUGUGAAAUCUCCGGGCUUAACUCGGAACGGUCAAGUGAUACUGUCGGACUAGAGUACAGAAGGGGCAACUGGAAUUCUCGGUGUAGCGGUGAAAUGCGUAGAUAUCGAGAGGAACACCUGCGGCGAAGGCGGGUUGCUGGGCUGAUACUGACGCUGAGGCGCGAAAGCAUGGGGAGCGAACAGG
rnacentral:rRNA from 1 species